rnacentral:rRNA from 1 species
AUUGAACGCUGGCGGCAUGCCUUACACAUGCAAGUCGAACGGCAGCACGGGGCAACCUGGUGGCGAGUGGCGAACGGGUGAGUAAUGCAUCGGAACGUACCUUUCAGUGGGGGAUAACGUAGCGAAAGUUACGCUAAUACCGCAUAUUCUGUGAGCAGGAAAGCAGGGGAUCGCAAGACCUUGCGCUGAUUGAGCGGCCGAUGUCAGAUUAGCUAGUUGGUGAGGUAAAGGCUCACCAAGGCGACGAUCUGUAGCGGGUCUGAGAGGAUGAUCCGCCACACUGGAACUGAGACACGGUCCAGACGCCUACGGGAGGCAGCAGUGGGGAAUUUUGGACAAUGGGGGCAACCCUGAUCCAGCCAUGCCGCGUGAGUGAAGAAGGCCUUCGGGUUGUAAAGCUCUUUCGGCCGGGAAGAAAUCGCACGGGCUAAUACCCUGUGUGGAUGACGGUACCGGAAUAAGGAGCACCGGCUAACUACGUGCCAGCCGCCGCAGUAAGAC